GGCCCCAGCUAUUCACAAUAUAUGUCAAUCAUUUCAAGCUAGGGACUAAAUGUAAUAUUUCCACAUUUAUUGAUGAUGCAAAGCUGCAUGGGAGUAUAUGUUAUGAGGAAGAUGGACAGUGGCUUCAGGACAAUUUGGAUACUCUUGGACAUAUAUUACUGCCACAGGAGGACUGCAACAAGUUACCAGACUUGCUCUCAGCCUUUUGAACGAGAUUGGGCAAACUGGGCCAAUAUUCCCUAAGUUUGAAGAAUGAAAAAUGAUUUCAUUGAAGGCUGCAAAAGACUUGAAGUCAUGGACAGAAUAGGCACAGUGCAUUGGAACAGGACGCUCAGAGAUGACUACACAACUUGGCUUCUCAAAUAUCUGCUCAUGAAUAAUAGGGAGGGCAAUUUAUUGGGCUGGCUACACUCAGGACUCUCCAGUUUCUCAAAUUGGUUGUGAGCUGCCAACUUGAUGUGUACUUCAGUGGACAAAAUGCAGACACUCCUAUUUCGGCCAAGACAGCAAUAUACAUCCAGCACAGCAUUAAACUGAAUUGCUAGGCCAGAGCAUUUCACCCUCAGCAGCCUUUAGUGUCUGGUUGGUUUCAUAGGCUUGGUGAUUUCAGUCAUCCCUAGAUCAUGAGAUCUCCUUCACUGCACUUUGUAAAAUGACUUUCCUACCAUGCUUUUGUUCUUAUGGAGAUCAAAGUGGCAAUGGGUCAAUAAUAAUACCCAUAAAAUAAAGCUGUUUGA